rnacentral:rRNA from 1 species
AUUGAACGCUGGCGGCAUGCUUUACACAUGCAAGUCGAACGGUAACAGGCCGCAAGGUGCUGACGAGUGGCGCACGGGUGAGUAAUGCAUCGGAACGUGCCCAGUCGUGGGGGAUAACUACUCGAAAGAGUAGCUAAUACCGCAUACGAUCUAUGGAUGAAAGCGGGGGACCGUAAGGCCUCGCGCGAUUGGAGCGGCCGAUGUCAGAUUAGGUAGUUGGUGGGGUAAAGGCUCACCAAGCCAACGAUCUGUAGCUGGUCUGAGAGGACGACCAGCCACACUGGGACUGAGACACGGCCCAGACUCCUACGGGAGGCAGCAGUGGGGAAUUUUGGACAAUGGGCGCAAGCCUGAUCCAGCAAUGCCGCGUGCAGGAAGAAGGCCUUCGGGUUGUAAACUGCUUUUGUACGGAACGAAACGGCUCUGGUUAAUACCCGGGGCUAAUGACGGUACCGUAAGAAUAAGCACCGGCUGACUACGUG